rnacentral:tRNA from 1 species
GCGCCCUUAGCUCAGCCGGAUAGAGCACCGGACUUCUAAUCCGACGGUCGCAGGUUCGAAUCCUGCAGGGCGCGC